UACGAAGGGGGCUAGCGUUGUUCGGAAUUACUGGGCGUAAAGCGCGCGCAGGCGGCUAUCCAAGUCAGUGGUGAAAGCCCGGAGCUCAACUCCGGAACUGCCAUUGAAACUGUUUAGCUUGAGGAUGAGAGAGGUGAGUGGAGUUCCCAGUGUAGAGGUGAAAUUCGUAGAUAUUGGGAAGAACACCGGUGGCGAAGGCGGCUCACUGGCUCAUUACUGACGCUCAGGCGCGAUAGCGUGGGGAUCAAACAGG
rnacentral:rRNA from 1 species